UUUUUUGUGAAAUCUUUAGUGUUUUUCUACAUUUCAGAUUAUGUCACCUAUGAACAGAAGUAAUUUUACUUCUUUCUUUCCAAUUUGAAUUCCUUUUAGCUCCCUAUAUUAUCCCAGUAAUCCUCUGGGAGAUUCUCUACACUCUCUAAGGUUGUAGCAAAGACUCUUCCUUAGAGAAGACCCUGCCUUAUGCCAUCCUUUCUUCUCUGAGACAUCCUCCUGUGGAUGAGAAUGGGAUGAGAAUGUGAUGAGAAUGGGAUUGCCUUUGAGAAUUCUCAAUGUUCCAGCCUCUGAUUAGGAAAAAAUGUCUCAUCCUAUGUGCCCUGUCCCUACC
rnacentral:lncRNA from 1 species